rnacentral:rRNA from 1 species
CCUACGGGCGGCAGCAGUCGAGAAUCAUUCACAAUGGGGGAAACCCUGAUGGUGCGACGCCGCGUGGGGGAAUGAAGGUCUUCGGAUUGUAAACCCCUGUCAUGUGGGAGCAAAUUAAAAAGAUAGUACCACAAGAGGAAGAGACGGCUAACUCUGUGCCAGCAGCCGCGGUAAUACAGAGGUCUCAAGCGUUGUUCGGAAUCACUGGGCGUAAGGCGGGCGUAGGCUGUUUCGUAAGUCGUGUGUGAAAGGCGCGGGCUCAACCCGCGGACGGCACAUGAUACUGCGAGACUAGAGUAAUGGAGGGGGAACCGGAAUUCUCGGUGUAGCAGUGAAAUGCGUAGAGAUCGAGAGGAACACUCGUGGCGAAGGCGGGUUCCUGGACAUUAACUGACGCUGAGGCACGAAGGCCAGGGGAGCGAAAGGGAUUAGAUACCCUUGUAGUC